AAGACCUUGCGCUUUUGGAGCGGCCGAUGCCUGAUUAGCUUGUUGGUAAGGUAAAAGCUUACCAAGGCUUCGAUCAGUAGCUGGUCUGAGAGGACGACCAGCCACACUGGGACUGAGACACGGCCCAGACUCCUACGGGAGGCAGCAGUGGGGAAUUUUGGACAAUGGGGGCAACCCUGAUCCAGCCAUGCCGCGUGAGUGAAGAAGGCCUUCGGGUUGUAAAGCUCUUUCAGCCGGAACGAAACGGUUACGGUUAAUACCCGUGAUUACUGACGGUACCGGAAGAAGAAGCACCGGCUAACUACGUGCCAGCAGCCGCGGUAAUACGUAGGGUGCGAGCGUUAAUCGGAAUUACUGGGCGUAAAGCGUGCGCAGGUGGUUUUGUAAGUCAGACGUGAAAGCCCCGGGCUCAACCUGGGAACU
rnacentral:rRNA from 1 species